rnacentral:rRNA from 1 species
UACGUAGGGGGCAAGCGUUGUCCGGAUUUAUUGGGCGUAAAGAGCGUGUAGGCGGCUAGAUAGGUCCGUUGUGAAAACUCGAGGCUCAACCUCGAGACGUCGGUGGAAACCGUUUGGCUAGAGUCCGGAAGAGGAGAGUGGAAUUCCCGGUGUAGCGGUGAAAUGCGCAGAUAUCGGGAAGAACACCCGUGGCGAAGGCGGCUCUCUGGGACGGUACUGACGCUGAGACGCGAAAGCCAGGGGAGCGAACGGG